CUGUUAACAAUGAUAACUUCAUUCAUAUAUCGAUUUGAUAUAUCUCUGUGAGCUCGAAAUAAAGGACACCACAGAGUCGUCCACUUCUGCUUCAUACUUAGAUAUUUUAUUGAAUGUAGACAUUAACGGCAUACUAACAACUCAACUGUAUGACAAACGGGAUGAUUUCAGCUUCUCCAUCGUUAACUUCCCAUAUUUAUGUAGCAAUAUUCCAUUAUCACCUGCAUAUGGUGUUUAUAUAUCUCAACUGAUUCGAUAUGCAGGAGCUUGUUCUGCGUAUAGUCAGUUUUUAAAUCGAGGUAAGCUAGUAAUAAACAUGAUGGUAAGGGUUUCAACAGUCUCGACUGGGUAAAAUGCUGUCUGACGUGUUUCAUACGGAUUGUUAAGCCGUUCUUGGCACACUGAUUUUGACUGCGGAUAACUCCGUUUACCUGAUCAGGAUAUAGGGCUCACGGCGGGUGUGAUCGGUCAACAGGGGAUGUUUACCUCUCCUUGGCACCUGAUCGCACCUUUGGCGUGUCCUUGGGUCCGUGUUUUUCCAACUCUCUAUCAUGUAUUGCUUGUAGGAGUUUUGAGAUUGAUCACUAUUCUUUAUCUUCAACUUUCAUUUAUGCAAAUGUGGAUUCUAAAAAUAUUCUAAAAUACUUUUGGUAAACUUGAAAUCACAGAACAUUUCGCAGAUCAACAACAUUAAAACCUUUGACGCUUCAACACUUUACACAACCAUUCCUCACGAUGAAUUAAAGACUAUAUUUUUUGAUAUCAUAGACAAUUGCUUCGUCAAUAAAAUCAAAGUUCAACUUCAGAGUACUUUUGCGUGGAAUCAGAAUGGUGUUUAACAAAGUAAUUUAUGGAUGACUGAUCACAAGAUAUGAAUAUUUCCGUUUUUCAUUUCUGUUGACGAAGCAACUGUAUAUGAUGUCAAAAAGUCUAGUCUUUAAUCUAUGGCGAGGAAUGGUCGUGUAAAGUGUUGAAAAGUCAUAGGUUUUUAUGUUAUUGAUUACUAAAAGUUCUUCAGAUAUUUUUUUAGAAUCAACAUUUGAUUUACACCACUUCUGGCAUAUGUAGUCGGACAGUAAGUUUGACGUUUCUCCUUCACAGCUGUUAAUAUUUUCGUGAGGAGCAAGGGUAGGGGCUUGGUAGAGCACUUACUAGAUCCAGCAAUGCAUCUUUGUAAGGGUUUUGAUGUAGUUUAGGAAUCCAGUAUAGGUACGGUAACUCAUAUUCAUUCUACCCAUUGACUGGGAUAUUAGAUGUUUCUAAAACCGAAGCAUGUUUUCGAAGAAUUUCAUCUUUUGAACGGGCAGUUGGAGUAUAAGUACGAUGGCCAAACGUGGAAUUAAUGCCAAGUUCUUUUAAAAUACAGUUCUAUUAAUGAGCUUUACAAACGAAGACAGUGUUGUUAGAAGGUUUGUCAGUUGGAAACAAUACGUAUUCCUCAUGUAACACUUAUACAAUACCAAUGUUGAUACACUAGAUGUGCAUUUCGACAAAUAUUCUCUUCCGUGAUGUUCAAGCCGAAAUGUUGGAAAUUCGAAAUGACACAAAACUUGUAAGAGCUAAAAGGAAAACUACAGUGCUCAAAAGCUGGGGCCAAAUUCGUCCAAGGAUCAUACCUAUGCAUGAAGGAGAUAUAAUCCUUAAUUUUGAAAAUAAUUUCUAAAUUUUAUCCCAGCAAUUAAAUAUACAUCCGUGUUUUCAAGCUAGUAACGAAGUACUUAGCUACUGGGCUGUAGAGACCACCGGAGACUAACAGUCCACCAGCAGAGAUCUCGACGCAGGGGUCAUAAUGUAAAACUUAUACGGUACCAAUUUUGAUGCACCAGAUACGCAUUUCGACAAAUAAUGUCUCUUCAGUGAUGCUCAAGCCGAAAUUUUGAAAAUUCGAAAUGACAAAAAACUUGUAAGAGUUAAAAGGAAAACUAGAGUGCAAAAACUGGAGCCUGAUGUAACCUGUCUAAUUCUUUGUCACUUAAGAUUUACUAAACACAGAAGGAUAGAUGGUUGGUACUUUUCUUUUAGUAUGUUUGAAAUAUUCCUCUUAUGCUUUAACCCAUUCUAACAAUGUAUCAACUUCUUCCUUUUCAUAUUUAGCUCACUGUCUAGCAUAAUCUUUGACAGAAAUCAUAAUAGACAUGAAGUUCUGUCGCCAAUUAAAAGACCGAGGUUCUCUGUAUUUAGUACCUUUUAGAAUAAGUGAUUUGAGGUCCUUAUUUUGAAAUAUAUCCCUCACGGACAAGAUGGAGUGGUUUGUUGAAUUAAAAUGCUUGUAAAGAAGUUGGUUACCAACAUUAUUUAUUUGAAAUUUGUGCCCCGAUAUUUUUUUUAUGAAGUAAACCCUUAGUUUCUCCCACAUAAAUUAAGCUCCACAGUUUACACUCAAUAGCUUACACAACGUUUGAAGAUAUACAAGCCAAAUCAUUAAAAGUAUUGGUACAGAAACUACGUCCAGUGAGAUUAGUUCUAAAUUAAUUUCUAGUGAUCAGUAUAUCACAAAUUUCACAAUUCUGUGCAGAACAUUUUGAGAUCGAGCGCAUGCGAUCUGAAUCUAAUUUAAAUUAAUUUAAACUAUAUUUUAUUCACAAAGUGAAUGGGAUCGGGCAACAGACAUAGCCGAUUCAAGCCCUAUCCCUCUCAUGCGAUCUGAAAAGGAAUUAUCAAAAAUAUCUCUUAAGGUCUUCAAUUUGGGUAUAAGAAGUUUGGUUUCUGUACCAAAGCAGACAAUUGACAAUUGUAUAUAAGACACAUCUUUGAUAUCUCGAAGGAUUAUCCGAGGGAUAUCAACCGAUCAGUAGUAAUCUGUAUCCCUUAUAGACUCCACAGAGUGAUACGUUUUUAAACGGUGGCUAUUUAUAGCCACUGUUUUAUGCUAUCGUCACAGUGGGUGUUAUUGUAUAUACUCGGGGACCCACGGACACAAUUUUGCAGGCCAAAAAUCAUAAAACUGGAUUGAUUUUUAUUGACAAAAUCCUAUGUGAAUGAUUGUAAUGUAAACGUAUACGGUACCAAUUUUGAUGCACCACACUGUUUUUGGAAAUGUUUUUUUUCUUCAAUAUUAGUUUUUGUAAUUUAAGCGAAGAUAGUCCCGAAUUUCUGGUAUGUUAUAUUACUCGUUUCAUAAAUAACGGCGUUGUAAUCAAUAGUCGGCGAUUUUGAAGUUGAAAUUUCUCUACCAGCCUUGAAUUUGAGUGUCCUCCGUAGAAAACGAUGUGUCCACUGAGUGUCACGAUGAAGGGUGUGUUUUCACGGCAUCACAAGGAGUAUGUAAUUUUAUUCAAGAGAUAUAAUGUUCAGUACACAUUUUCAUUACAAAAUACUGUUAAAAUAUCGAUCAUCUAAAGUAUAAAGAUCUAUUUUACAUGAGCAGUUGUAAAUUGUUUGAAUGGAGCGAUUUCUUGUUUCAACUUUACUUUUUUGAAUUUUCAAAUCAUUUGUAAUUUGUGGAGUAACUCAUAUUGAUAUCAAUUACCGUUGAUCUUAUGAUUUGUUUAUUAGUUUGUUGAUUCAAUUGAGAGUAUCGAGAACGAUCUUUGAACAAAUACUCAACUAACCAAGCCCAUCGGAUCAUGUCUACAUGACAUAUUUUUGAAACAAUUAUCUCUUCACCUCGAAAAUUUCUGUGUCUUUGAUAUUGUACGCAUUAGGCAAAGCGACGAGUAUAAAGAUAAAUAACCGCUGAUUAUGAUAUUAUGAUAAUUCUAUGCAAGUUGCGUGAAUAGUUCAAUUCAAAAUGAAAUCAAUUGGUCAACAUUGAUAACGACGACAAUUGCUUUGUGCUAGUAUCAAAUCGCAGUAACUGAAGUGAAAUUAGCGUGAAUCACCACAUUCAUUUUCCACUUAAUCAAUGCAAGAACUUCGUUCGUGAAUUCGACAGUACAUUCAGGUUAUUUUAUUGUGGAAACAACGGGAAACUUUCCCAAACUUUCACUUGUUGAUUGAAUUAGAUAACUACAAAAGAUAUUUGUGUGUGAGUGAGUGAGUGAGUGUGUGUGUGUGUGUGUGUGUGUGUGUGUGUGUGGGUGUGUGUGUGUGUGUGUGUGUGUGUGUUUGCAGGCCCUGUCAGUUUAACCCGUUAAUAAAAAGGCACACGUGUAAACCAACACGGGGUCGGCCAAAAGAACACGAAAAUGGUGGUGUUUUUUUAUUAUAAAAAUCAGCACAAAAUCAUUAAAUUGUUCAUCUACCAUCAAAAUCCUGAAGUGUUUACUUAACAGGAUUUAUGAGAUGUGUGUAACAGGUGUGUAAAGAUUUAGCACUCGUCCACCGUUUUUCCUUGCGAGCAUGGCUUUCGAAGUGCGCAUGCUCUGUUUUAAAUGACGUAAUUUGUGAUAUCAUCAUAAUGGAGUUUUCCAGGGAAAGAAGUUGGCCCAUCUGAGGUAAGUAAACACGGUUGAAGGAAAUUUUUUGCAUAUUAACAAUGUUUUUUUAUUAGAUAAACUGAAUAAAUGGUGUUUCAUACCGAUCGUGUUAUGUACAAGCGACAGAGUACCCGAGUUACUGAAAAUUUCGAUGACGAAAGUGAUAAAUCUGCGUAAACUGUUUGUUAUUGUUUUUUUUUUUUUAAAAUAUAAUGUUUCCAUUUAAUGUACUCUGUAUACUAAGAAUUCUUAUUGAUUUUGGAUAGGAUUUCACAUUUAAAAACAAAAAGAUAUGGGCCAGGUUCUUAGGAAUCAACCCCCACCCCCACCCCACUCCUCCACACGGCACCUUUUUUUUUGGAUGAUUAGAACGUAUUCCCCUUUCCAUCUGUUUCCCUACUUUGAAGUUUUUUCCAACGCCAUGACAUAAAUGAUAAAUAUAAAUAAAUAAAUAAAAUGAGAAAAUAAAAAAGAAAGAUAUAUAGAUCUAUAUGUAUUCGGAUUGGCAUGUUCCACUUUGUUCGGGUUGAAAUCCCCGAGGCUGCAUGUGUACAUUACGCCGCACUGCUUGCAGUACGUACAUGGUACAGGUGUACCGCAUAGGUAUGUAACUACUAAGACUACAAACCAAACAGAAUGUGAUAUGUAAAACUAUUACUUUGAAUGCAAAUGUAGCCUGUCGGGUUGUGGUGCCACAUGCGUGGUUUACACGUGCACUUUAGGUGGCAGUGGAGGAAAUUCGAACCAUGUAUGUAUUCUUGUCUCCUGGUAAUUAUGGCAGUUACAUUUUGCUUUCAAUAUACUUUUUAAGAAUAAUACAACCCUCGCUAAUCAUUGCCAAUCUGUAUUUCGAUCUUGGAAGAAUGAUCUUCAGCUACAAUACAAAAUUGAGGGUUGAUGUGUACCGAGUUCUUCUCGAUUGUUUACAUAUGUGACUGUUUAUGUGAUGUAUCAACUGAUCAAGAUGUACAGUGCUAUGACAUAUAGUGGCAUAGCUUCCAUUUAUAUGCUUGCGCAUCAUUUUGUCAGAAGAAGAAAUUUCUAAAAAUAUAUAAUUAAGAUUUUUAACAUGUAUAUGAUUAUAUGUGUUUGUUUGAUUUUAGUAUAAUAAUACCCGUAGAGAAUAUUUCAGUAAUAUGAAGUGCCACACAUUUAGACGCAUGCAUGUGGUGUUUUAAGGUCUCAUCUGAAAGACCAGCAACUUUCUCUUUUGAAUGCUAAAUAUGACGAUGGAGCAUUCACCUUACUACCUACAUUUACACCUUAAAUUAAGUACAAACAUGGCUCGAAACCAUGAUUUCUUGAUCAAAUGCUCUGUUACCACAAAGCUACCAUGACCAAUUUUUUAACAUGAAUUCAUAGCUAAAUUUUUUUUAAGAUUUAUAACUAUUUUUUUGGUUACUUCCAUAAAUGUUAUUCCUUUCUCUAGACACAAUUCUGGGUAAUAUCCUGCUUUUGGGGGUAUAAGCACACACUUUCUUUCAGAAUGGGACAAUGUCAGGAGAGCUUUCGUUAUUUGUUACACUCUUAGUGUUGAUGUAUGAACAACAGGAUAAUGUUUUUAGAUUAUUAUUUCUGAUAUCAUAUUUGAAAAUGUUUUUGAGGAGUUGUUAAAAGUUUUGUGGACAAAAGGAUGCACUUAUUAAAAAUUCAAAGUUAUCGUAAGUGAAAAAUAUAGGAGAUGUGUAACAAGAUUGUAGAUUUGAACAAUUUGAUUUUAAUUAAUUUUUAUAAGUAUUGAUUUCAAAUACAUGAAUCACAUUGCAUGCUUGAUUGGGAGGGGGGGGGGAGGGGGGGGGCUACAGUUAGAUAAUAUUUUGGUCAGCAUAUUCUAUAAACUGUAUGGAACUCAUUAAAUCACUUCUUUUUCUUUCAGUGGUCUUCAACUUUAAAUUUUAAUCUCCAAGAAGGAAAUGUAAUUAAAAGAUGAAUAAAGUAUACCUAAGAAUACCAGAGGAAAGGUUAUGUGUUGAGAAAAACAGCCCUUCCUAAGUACCUCAGAACUAGAUGAUAGCUCUUGUUACUUUAUGCUGAAAAUGACACAGUAUAGAAUAUCUGAUCAUGAAGAAGUUACACCAUUGAUACACUUGCCAACUGCCAAAAUUACUUUCUGAUAGUAUGACGAGAUUAGAAGAUACCAUGGUGUAGUCAUGACACAAACUGCAAAUCAAAAAAAUUAAUUGUCUUCCCCAGAGGAUGAACAGAUCGCAAUGACUUAACAUGGAUAACAUUUCCUUUCGAGUUUUAAAUUAUCAAACAUAAUUUUGCAUCAAAGAGAACAAGUGGCUUUGACAUAACCCAGAAAUUACAAUAUUCAUCAAAAAGAUCAUGACACCAGGAUAACUAGAUGCCCAUAUCCCCAGCAAAAUGAGCCAGUCCUAAAGAGAGUCCACUAGAGAUGAAAUAAAAUUCAUUAAAAUGUAUUGAGAAAAGGUAUAUAUACAAUUUUUGAUUUGCAGCUUAAAAGUAUUGAUGAUUUGUAUUUUGACAGCCUCCAACUAAAAUACAGUGAAAAUAUUGCUGCAGUACUGUAAUUAUGUCUCCCCUCUUUCAGUGGGAGGCAUAUUGUUUUUGUACUUUCUGUUCGUUUGCUACAAAAUCCUGUGAACACUUCUCCUAUAUGGUUUAUCAUAUAGACAUGAAACUUUAUAUAAUGCUUCAUUGUCAUUUGUAGAUAUGUAUAUUGGUGGGACGAGAGGAUCCAAUUAUUUUCCUAAAAGUUAUAGUAGGUCUAAGAGGGGUGGAGGAUGUAAAGUACCUUGUCAACACUUCUCCUCCUCUAUGGCUUAUUGGAUAGAUUUGAAACUUUGUACAAUGCUUCAUUGCCAUUUGUAUUUGUGCAUAUUGUUGGGACAGGAGGAUCGAAUUAUUUUCCUAAAAGUUAAUAGUAGAUCUAAGAGGGGUGGAGGAUGUUAAAAUAACUUGUAAAUACUUCUCCUCUUAUACGGCUUAUCUGAUAGACUUGAAAUUUCGUACAAUACUUCAAUGUAAAACUUAUACGGUACCAAUUUUGAUGCACCAGAUGCGCAUUUCGACAAAUAAUGUCUCUUCAGUGAUGCUCAACCGAAAUGUUUGAAAUCCGAAAUAACUAUGAAGUUUUAGAGCUAAAUAUAGCCAAUGCCAUUUGCGAUGUGCAUAUUGCAGGGACAGAUCGAAGAUCCAAAUGUUGUCCUUAAUACAGUGGAAUGGAUCUGAGGGGUGGAUGGUGUAAAAUAGUUUUUGAACCCUUUUCCAAUGUGGCUUAAUUAUUGGAGUUCAUAAUGUUUAUGUUCCUCCUCAUGCUUUAUCUUCCAUACCAUGCAGUACAUUAAGGGGUUGGAGGUUUCAUUUGGAGCACUUCCAAUUUGGGGAGCUGGGGAUACAUUUGUUUUUCAUAAAAACAAUCUGUAGAUAUGAUAUAUUUGUCAUAAAAUGUUUAUGAUAUCUGUAUCACUUUGAAUCUUUAAAAAGGAUAUUUGAUAUGUGAAUUAAUAUUUACAGCUGAUCAUUUGAUAAACAGUUACUUUGUAGAAAUAGAAAUUAUGAUUUUUAUCUAAUUAUACAUUUCUGGCUAUCUCUAUGAAGACCUUUUACGAAGACCUUUCACUAAUCACUUCUCUAAAUAUUUUUGCAGAUCUGUCAGAAUGUUAUGCAUCAUGAUCAACAGAAAAGAACUUCACAGGUAUACCAAAGCUGACAUGGGAUGAGAUCCUAACACGAGACCUAGAGUUUACGGCAUUGGAUAGAAUCAAUCCACUGGGUCGCCAAGUGUGGAAGUACAAACUUCAACCUCGACAGGACAGCCAGGCCUCACCCUUGUAAAAAGAUUAAUUUGGCCUGGAUAGUCAAAAUGAGUGAUGAUGAUGAUAUCAAGGUCUGACACCGGAAGCUCAGUAAGGGUAGAUGCUGGCAAUAGAGAUGUUUAGCAAUACAUCAAACAUGUUUAACAUUGAACAUGUUUAUAUACUUUUUAGCUCACCUGAGCCAAAGGCUCAAGUGAGCUUUUCUGAUCACCUUUGCAUGUCGUCCCUCUGUCUGUAAACUUUUCACACUUCAUUUUCUUCUCCAGAGUGAACCACUGGGCCAGUUUCAAUCAAAUUUGGUACGCAUCAUUAAUAGGUAAAUGGUAUUCAAGUGUGUUCAUAUAAAGGGCCAUCCACCCUUCAAAAAGGAAAUAAUCAUGGAAAUGCAAAAAUAGGGUGGCGUAAUUUAAAAAACCUUUUCAAGAACCACUGGAUCAGGAAAGUUGAAUUCACACAAAAAGGGUUCUGUUUUGUGCAAAUCAUGGUCUCCGGGUGUAGGGUGAGGUCACAAUAGAGGAUGAAAGUUUUACAUUCAUAUAUAGUGCAAAUUCAAGUUUGUUAAAAGUAAUGGCUUGCAGGGGUAGAGUGGGGUCAUAUUAGGGGAUCUAAGUUUUAUAUGUGAAAUAUAUACAAGGAAAAUCUUUUAAAAUCUUCUCAAAAACUAGAUGCAAAAUCGUAGCUCUUUGAGAAGGCAUUGGGGCAAGUCAAAAGAGAGCUUCAGAUGAACCCCUUAUAAAAAAUCUUCAAUUUACGGCACAGAAAAAAGUGCAUGGUUAAGUCCCUCUAUCACUGUAUUCCUGUGUCGCUGUCUCAUUAAUUUAAUAUUAAACAAUUCCUAACAUAUAUUCCCACUAUACUUGUUUCCAAACAUACUUUUAAAUAUUCCCUAAACCCACAUAUAACCCAAAUACUCACAGCUUCAAGUGAUUUUCUUUGUUGAUGUAGCCAUGUCAGGUAGCCAGUCAAUUUCAACCCCAGUUCAUUUCCAUACUCAGAUAACAUAUUGCUAUUGGUCUGCGUAUGUUGUAGUCCGUCGACGUUAACAAUUGAACAUGUUUAACUAAAUUCUAUAACUGACAGGUGAAGAUAACAAACAGCGAUCAAUUUACGAUUCAUAUAAGGAAAUUCUUUUCAAAUUUAGUAUGAAGCACACAUAUUUACACUAAACCUUCCUGACGUAGUGCAUAUUCAAGUGUGUUAAAAUCAUUUCCCCAGGAGGUAUGGUGUGGUAACAAUAGGGGAUCAAGGUUUUAUAUGCUGGUAUAUUUCAAGGAAAAAUCUUUAAAGAUAUAUAUGGAACUAUUUAAGCUAGGGCUUUCAUAUCUUGUAUAUACAAUUUUUACUGCAAAACAAAUCUGACCUAUUUAGUAUGUCCUGAACUACAUUGUGUUUAAGGUAGAUCUUUCAUAUAUAUUAUAUAUUAUGAAUUUCUUAUGAUAAACCUUUCAUCUUGUUGAGGGGCCUCUCAACUCUGGUUGAUGUGGGUUUGAAUCCUGCUCGCGCCGGUAAGUGAGAAAGUUUCCCAGUUUACUCUUGGAAGGUUGGUGGUCUCUUUCCAGGUACAUUGUAUCUGGGUUCUCUCUUCCACCAAUAAAAACUGGGCACCACCAGAUAACUGAAAAACUGUUGAGUGUGGCGGAAAACAACUAAAACAAUCAAUCAUAUUAUGUUCUUUGACCUUGUGACCCUGAACUCUGGGUUUGACAUACUUUUAAGAAAGUAUAACCUAUUAAAUAUAUCCAGGACUAUUUUAGAUAGGGCUUUCAUGUUUUGUAUAUAGAUUACUUAUGGCAAGGUCUUUCAUAUCAUACCAAGACCUAUGGCUCUUUACCUUGGUCUUAUCCAGAACAGUAAUAUCAUGCUAGUCAUAUCUUUGUGUUAUAUUAUUUCAUUUUAGUAAUGUUGUGUUCUUUAGAGCUAGGUUUGGGUCACAUUAUCUAUGAGAGUAAAGAUUGAUAAAAUAGCAUUUACAAAUCACAACAGCAGGGCCAAGGUGACUGAGGUGAGCGAUGUGGCCCAUGGGCAUCUUGUUGAUUUUGAUAUUCGUACAUAUAUCAUUUGUAUAAGAAAUGGAAACUCUCUUUUUUUCUUUUACAAAUACAUGUAUUAUCAUAUGGAUCCAUCUUUGUUGAUUAUUUAAUCAAAGGACUACAUUCAAUUCGUUCAAUGUAUUAAAUGUAAAUUUAUUGAUAUGCCUGUGGUUGAAAUACUAAUGUAUGUAUAUAUUUUUCUUGCACAUGCAAUUACAUAUAUGAUGUAUAUAUAUUUACUAAUUGUACAUAUAAUAUCCCCUGUAAUAUAAUAACAUAUAUGACUGAGAAUAAAA